UUAAGCGACUAAGCGUACACGGUGGAUGCCCUGGCAGUCAGAGGCGAUGAAGGACGUGCUAAUCUGCGAAAAGCGUCGGUAAGGUGAUAUGAACCGUUAUAACCGGCGAUGUCCGAAUGGGGAAACCCAGUGCAAUUCGUUGCACUAUCGUUAACUGAAUACAUAGGUUAACGAGGCGAACCGGGGGAACUGAAACAUCUAAGUACCCCGAGGAAAAGAAAUCAACCGAGAUUCCCCCAGUAGCGGCGAGCGAACGGGGAGCAGCCCAGAGUCUGAAUCAGCUUGUGUGUUAGUGGAACGGUCUGGAAAGUCCGACGGUACAGGGUGAUAGUCCCGUACACCAAAAUGCACAGGUUGUGAACUCGAAGAGUAGGGCGGGACACGUGGUAUCCUGUCUGAAUAUGGGGGGACCAUCCUCCAAGGCUAAAUACUCCUGACUGACCGAUAGUGAACCAGUACCGUGAGGGAAAGGCGAAAAGAACCCCGGCGAGGGGAGUGAAAAAGAACCUGAAACCGUGUACGUACAAGCAGUGGGAGCACCUUCGGGUGUGACUGCGUACCUUUUGUAUAAUGGGUCAGCGACUUAUAUUCUGUAGCAAGGUUAACCGUAUAGGGGAGCCGCAGGGAAACCGAGUCUUAACUGGGCGUUAAGUUGCAGGGUAUAGACCCGAAACCCGGUGAUCUAGCCAUGGGCAGGUUGAAGGUUGGGUAACACUAACUGGAGGACCGAACCGACUAAUGUUGAAAAAUUAGCGGAUGACUUGUGGCUGGGGGUGAAAGGCCAAUCAAACCGGGAGAUAGCUGGUUCUCCCCGAAAGCUAUUUAGGUAGCGCCUCGUGAACUCAUCUUCGGGGGUAGAGCACUGUUUCGGCUAGGGGGUCAUCCCGACUUACCAACCCGAUGCAAACUACGAAUACCGAAGAAUGUUAUCACGGGAGACACACGGCGGGUGCUAACGUCCGUCGUGAAGAGGGAAACAACCCAGACCGCCAGCUAAGGUCCCAAAGUCAUGGUUAAGUGGGAAACGAUGUGGGAAGGCACAGACAGCCAGGAUGUUGGCUUAGAAGCAGCCAUCAUUUAAAGAAAGCGUAAUAGCUCACUGGUCGAGUCGGCCUGCGCGGAAGAUGUAACGGGGCUAAACCAUGCACCGAAGCUGCGGCAGCGACACUAUGUGUUGUUGGGUAGGGGAGCGUUCUGUAAGCCUGCGAAGGUGACCUGUGAGGGUUGCUGGAGGUAUCAGAAGUGCGAAUGCUGACAUAAGUAACGAUAAAGCGGGUGAAAAGCCCGCUCGCCGGAAGACCAAGGGUUCCUGUCCAACGUUAAUCGGGGCAGGGUGAGUCGACCCCUAAGGCGAGGCCGAAAGGCGUAGUCGAUGGGAAACAGGUUAAUAUUCCUGUACUUGGUGUUACUGCGAAGGGGGGACGGAGAAGGCUAUGUUAGCCGGGCGACGGUUGUCCCGGUUUAAGCAUGUAGGCUGGUUAUCCAGGCAAAUCCGGAUAAUCAAGGCUGAGGUGUGAUGACGAGGCACUACGGUGCUGAAGUAACAAAUGCCCUGCUUCCAGGAAAAGCCUCUAAGCAUCAGGUAACAUCAAAUCGUACCCCAAACCGACACAGGUGGUCAGGUAGAGAAUACCAAGGCGCUUGAGAGAACUCGGGUGAAGGAACUAGGCAAAAUGGUGCCGUAACUUCGGGAGAAGGCACGCUGGUGUGUAGGUGAAGUCCCUGCGGAUGGAGCUGAGACCAGUCGAAGAUACCAGCUGGCUGCAACUGUUUAUUAAAAACACAGCACUGUGCAAACACGAAAGUGGACGUAUACGGUGUGACGCCUGCCCGGUGCCGGAAGGUUAAUUGAUGGGGUUAUCCGUAAGGAGAAGCUCUUGAUCGAAGCCCCGGUAAACGGCGGCCGUAACUAUAACGGUCCUAAGGUAGCGAAAUUCCUUGUCGGGUAAGUUCCGACCUGCACGAAUGGCGUAAUGAUGGCCAGGCUGUCUCCACCCGAGACUCAGUGAAAUUGAACUCGCUGUGAAGAUGCAGUGUACCCGCGGCAAGACGGAAAGACCCCGUGAACCUUUACUAUAGCUUGACACUGAACAUUGAGCCUUGAUGUGUAGGAUAGGUGGGAGGCUUUGAAGCGUGGACGCCAGUCUGCGUGGAGCCAACCUUGAAAUACCACCCUUUAAUGUUUGAUGUUCUAACGUGGGCCCCUGACCGGGGUUGCGGACAGUGUCUGGUGGGUAGUUUGACUGGGGCGGUCUCCUCCCAAAGCGUAACGGAGGAGCACGAAGGUUAGCUAAUCCUGGUCGGACAUCAGGAGGUUAGUGCAAUGGCAUAAGCUAGCUUGACUGCGAGCGUGACGGCGCGAGCAGGUGCGAAAGCAGGUCAUAGUGAUCCGGUGGUUCUGAAUGGAAGGGCCAUCGCUCAACGGAUAAAAGGUACUCCGGGGAUAACAGGCUGAUACCGCCCAAGAGUUCAUAUCGACGGCGGUGUUUGGCACCUCGAUGUCGGCUCAUCACAUCCUGGGGCUGAAGUAGGUCCCAAGGGUAUGGCUGUUCGCCAUUUAAAGUGGUACGCGAGCUGGGUUUAGAACGUCGUGAGACAGUUCGGUCCCUAUCUGCCGUGGGCGCUGGAGAAUUGAGGGGGGCUGCUCCUAGUACGAGAGGACCGGAGUGGACGCAUCACUGGUGUUCGGGUUGUCAUGCCAAUGGCACUGCCCGGUAGCUAAAUGCGGAAGAGAUAAGUGCUGAAAGCAUCUAAGCACGAAACUUGCCCCGAGAUGAGUUCUCCCUGAGACUAUAAGUCUCCUGAAGGAACGUUGAAGACGACGACGUUGAUAGGCCGGGUGUGUAAGCGCAGCGAUGCGUUGAGCUAACCGGUACUAAUGAACCGUGAGGCUUAACCU
rnacentral:rRNA from 2 species